GGGCGUUCACCACGGUAUGAUUCAUGACUGGGGUGAAGUCGUAACAAGGUAACCGUAGGGGAACCUGCGGUUGGAUCACCUCCUUACCUUAAAUGAAG
rnacentral:rRNA from 1 species